rnacentral:rRNA from 1 species
GAUGAACGCUGGCGGCGUGCCUAAUACAUGCAAGUCGAACGCAUUGAGAGAAGUGCUUGCACUUUUCAAUUUGAGUGGCGAACGGGUGAGUAACACGUGGGCAACCUACCUGAUAGCGGGGGAUAACGAGUGGAAACAUUCGCUAAUACCGCAUAACAAUAGAGAAGGCAUCUUCUUUAUUUAAAAGGCGCUUCCAAGCGUCACUAUCAGAUGGGCCCGCGGUGCAUUAGUUAGUUGGUGGGGUGAAGGCCUACCAAGAAGAUGAUGCAUAGCCGGGUUGAGAGACUGAUCGGCCACAUUGGGACUGAGACACGGCCCAAACUCCUACGGGAGGCUGCAGUAGGGAAUCUUCCACAAUGGACGAAAGUCUGAUGGAGCAACGCCGCGUGUGUGAUGAAGGCUUUCGGGUCGUAAAGCACUGUUGUAUGGGAAGAAAUGCUAGGCUAGGAAAUGAGCUUAGUUUGACGGUACCAUACCAGAAAGGGACGGCUAAAUACGUGCCAGCCGCCGCAGUAA